rnacentral:misc_RNA from 1 species
GGCGGAGUUCAGUCUUCCCAGGCCCACCACGCUUCGCCGUCGGCUUCGCAUGGCACCGCCAGGCAGAACGACGAGGCGAAGCGCGUCCGGCAUAGCCCGAAGGGCGACGCCGGACAGAAAGAGCGCUUCGUCUUCUGGUUACGGGGCCAUAGCUCAGCUGGGAGAGCGCGUGCUUUGCAAGCAUGAGGUCGUCGGUUCGAUCCCGUCUGGCUCCACCAGAUGGUUUGAUCACCGAGAUCUUGACCGUCGUCCGCGAAACAUCACUUCGCAUCCUGCUAGUCUGGAUAGACAGCAAGUUGCGUGUUUUCUGACAUCGUAAAGAGGAGAUCGAUCCGAGUUGGAUCGUGCAACAUAUCGUUGCGCGAGCCUUCAUUAUCUCCGGAUCAUUUCGGCGCUCGCUUCCAGCCGUGAGGUUGGAUGCGGGUUGUAAAUGAUCCUUUUAGCGAAGCUUGACCGCCUCGCUAUCGGAACGAUCUUACGAAGCAAGCUGGUCUUUCUAGUCAAUGUCCGGCUGUACGUAGCAUUCAUCGAGGGUGCGCGCCCGAGAUUUCGGUCUCUUGGCAAUCGUACAGACAACAUUCUGCCGAGUGUGUGGACAUUGAUAAUGAGAGCAAUCAAGUGCCUUAAGGGUGUUCGGUGGAUGCCUUGGCGCUGAGAGGCGAUGAAGGACGUGCUACGCUGCGAUAAGCCGUGGGGAGCUGCGAAGAAGCUUUGAUCCGCGGAUUUCCGAG